rnacentral:tRNA from 2 species
GGGUGAUUAACUCAGCGGCUAGAGUGCUGCCUUCACAUGGCAGAAGUCACUGGUUCGAGUCCAGUAUCGCCCAUCA